UCCGGUUUGGCACCGGCAGUCCUCCCAGAGUCCUCGACUUGACUCGCUAGCAACUGGGAGCGGGGGUUGCGCUCGUUGCGGGACUUAACCCAACAUCUCACGACACGAGCUGACGACAGCCAUGCAGCACCUGUGAAGGUCCGGCCGAACCGACCCCGUGUUUCCACGGGUACGACCUACAUGUCAAGCCCAGGUAAGGUUCUUCGCGUUGCGUCGAAUUAAACCACAUGCUCCACCGCUUGUGCGGGCCCCCGUCAAUUCCUUUGAGUUUCAUUCUUGCGAACGUACUCCCCAGGUGGGAUACUUAUCACUUUCGCUUAGCCACUCAAGUUUGCACUCGAACAGCUAGUAUCCAUCGUUUACGGCGUGGACUAC
rnacentral:misc_RNA from 1 species